rnacentral:rRNA from 1 species
UACGAAGGGGGCUAGCGUUGCUCGGAAUCACUGGGCGUAAAGCGCACGUAGGCGGCUUUCUAAGUCAGGGGUGAAAUCCUGGAGCUCAACUCCAGAACUGCCUUUGAUACUGUGGAGCUCGAGUCCGGAAGAGGUGAGUGGAACUCCGAGUGUAGAGGUGAAAUUCGUAGAUAUUCGGAAGAACACCAGUGGCGAAGGCGGCUCACUGGUCCGGUACUGACGCUGAGGUGCGAAAGCGUGGGGAGCAAACAGG